ACGAAGGGUGCAAGCGUUACUCGGAAUUACUGGGCGUAAAGCGUGCGUAGGUGGUUUGUUAAGUCUGAUGUGAAAGCCCUGGGCUCAACCUGGGAACUGCAUUGGAAACUGGCUUACUAGAGUGCGGUAGAGGGGUGCGGAAUUCCCGGUGUAGCAGUGAAAUGCGUAGAUAUCGGGAGGAACAUCCGUGGCGAAGGCGGCACCCUGGACCAGCACCGACGUUCAGGCACGAAAGCGUGGGGAGCAAACAGGA
rnacentral:rRNA from 1 species